GUUAUCACGGGAGACACACGGCGGGUGCUAACGUCCGUCGUGAAGAGGGAAACAACCCAGACCGCCAGCUAAGGUCCCAAAGUCAUGGUUAAGUGGGAAACGAUGUGGGAAGGCCCAGACAGCCAGGAUGUUGGCUUAGAAGCAGCCAUCAUUUAAAGAAAGCGUAAUAGCUCACUGGUCGAGUCGGCCUGCGCGGAAGAUGUAACGGGGCUAAACCAUGCACCGAAGCUGCGGCAGCGAACGUAUCACUUAAAGCGAUUCAGCGGGUUACGAUUGACGGAGCGAAGCGACGUCAAAGCGUAUACAAAGUCGAGUCGGUUUAAGGAUACGUUCGUUGGGUAGGGGAGCGUUCUGUAAGCCUGUGAAGGUGGCCUGUGAGGGUKGCUGGAGGUAUCAGAAGUGCGAAUGCUGACAUAAGUAACGAUAAAGCGGGUGAAAAGCCCGCUCGCCGGAAGACCAAGGGUUCCUGUCCAACGUUAAUCGGGGCAGGGUGAGUCGACCCCUAAGGCGAGGCCGAAAGGCGUAGUCGAUGGGAAACGGGUUAAUAUUCCCGUACUUGGUGUUACUGCGAA
rnacentral:rRNA from 1 species